CUUUUAGCGAACAUUAGGCAGUGUAGGACCUGCCGAAUAUGGGGUACAUUGGCGUUGUGGCAGACUUAUGCAAUGUAUGAUCAUAUAAUGUAACUAAAUCCCCAUACUUUUCAUAUAUAGUGCUUAGUUAUGUCUCCUCUUGUUUUGCCUAUUAUAUCUUGUCUUAGUUUGUAGUCCCAGUCCAUGUACAGUCCUGUCCUGCU